UCUGCGGAAGGAUCAUUGAUUCCAUCGUAUCCACACCGAGAACAACCCCAUGUUGGCCUGGCCGCCAAAGGUUCACCCUUUGGCGGUCACCUGCAGCCCGGCUGGCUUGCCAGCCCGACUGUGGGGGCCGGGUUCACACCUGGCCGGCUGUUUCUCCCAUUCAAACCAAUAUUUGAAGGCAAUUGCUUGCUCACACGAGCGGCGACUAACAAAGACAACUCUCAACAACGGAUAUCUUGGCUCCCGCAACGAUGAAGAACGCAGCGAAAUGCGAUACGUAGUGUGAAUUGCAGAAUUCCGUGAACCAUCGAAUCUUUGAACGCAUAUUGCGCCCCACGGCCUCGGCCCAGGGCAUGUCUGCCUCAGCGUCUGUUUACCCCCUCUCCCCCCUCUCACAUACCGUGAGAUCGGGAAGGUUGUGGUCUUGUGCUGCGGCACUUGGCCGAAAUUCAGUGAUACUGCAGGGACCGUUAAUCGGACUCCAGCUUGGUAGGCUUUUCCCUUGUGGAAUUAUGCAUGCCGCUGUUGGCCGUGGACCACUGCAGCUGUCAAGCAGGGAAACCUUUCAAAUUUAGACCUGAGGUCAGGCAAGACCACCCGCUGAACUUAAGCAUAUCA
rnacentral:rRNA from 1 species